rnacentral:rRNA from 1 species
GAUAAACGCUGGCGGCGUGCAUAACACAUGCAAGUCGAACGAGGUGGCGAACGGGUGAGUAACACGCGAGUAACCUGCCUUACACAAGGGGAUAGCCUUUGGAAACGAAGAAUACUACCCUAUAGUGUAAGAUGGACUUGCGUCUGAUUAGCUAGUUGGUGAGAUAACAGCCCACCAAGGCGACGAUCAGUAGCCGGCUUGAGAGAGUGUACGGCCACAUUGUGAGUGAGACACGGCCCCAACUCGACGGGAGGGAGCAGUGGGGAAUUGUGCACAAUGGGGGAAACCCGAAUGCAGCGACGCCGCGUGAUUUAGAAAGCCUUCGGGUCGUAAAAAUCUUUUUUAAGGGUUGCAGUACCAUAAGAAUAAGGUCCGGCUAAAUACGUGCCAGCAGCCGCGGUAAUAC